GAUGAACGCUAGCUACAGGCUUAACACAUGCAAGUCGAGGGGCAGCAUUUCAGUUUGCUUGCAAACUGGAGAUGGCGACCGGCGCACGGGUGAGUAACACGUAUCCAACCUGCCGAUAACUCGGGGAUAGCCUUUCGAAAGAAAGAUUAAUACCCGAUGGCAUAAUUAGACCGCAUGGUCUUAUUAUUAAAGAAUUUCGGUUAUCGAUGGGGAUGCGUUCCAUUAGGCAGUUGGUGAGGUAACGGCUCACCAAACCUUCGAUGGAUAGGGGUUCUGAGAGGAAGGUCCCCCACAUUGGAACUGAGACACGGUCCAAACUCCUACGGGAGGCAGCAGUGAGGAAUAUUGGUCAAUGGGCGCAGGCCUGAACCAGCCAAGUAGCGUGAAGGAUGACUGCCCUAUGGGUUGUAAACUUCUUUUAUAUGGGAAUAAAGUUUUCCACGUGUGGAAUUUUGUAUGUACCAUAUGAAUAAGGAUCGGCUAACUCCGUGCCAGCAGCCGCGGUAAUACGGAGGAUCCGAGCGUUAUCCGGAUUUAUUGGGUUUAAAGGGAGCGUAGGUGGACAGUUAAGUCAGUUGUGAAAGUUUGCGGCUCAACCGUAAAAUUGCAGUUGAUACUGGCUGUCUUGAGUACAGUAGAGGUGGGCGGAAUUCGUGGUGUAGCGGUGAAAUGCUUAGAUAUCACGAAGAACUCCGAUUGCGAAGGCAGCUCACUGGACUGCAACUGACACUGAUGCUCGAAAGUGUGGGUAUCAAACAGGAUUAGAUACCCUGGUAGUCCACACAGUAAACGAUGAAUACUCGCUGUUUGCGAUAUACAGUAAGCGGCCAAGCGAAAGCAUUAAGUAUUCCACCUGGGGAGUACGCCGGCAACGGUGAAACUCAAAGGAAUUGACGGGGGCCCGCACAAGCGGAGGAACAUGUGGUUUAAUUCGAUGAUACGCGAGGAACCUUACCCGGGCUUAAAUUGCAUUUGAAUAAUCUGGAAACAGGUUAGCCGCAAGGCAAAUGUGAAGGUGCUGCAUGGUUGUCGUCAGCUCGUGCCGUGAGGUGUCGGCUUAAGUGCCAUAACGAGCGCAACCCUUAUCUUUAGUUACUAACAGGUCAUGCUGAGGACUCUAGAGAGACUGCCGUCGUAAGAUGUGAGGAAGGUGGGGAUGACGUCAAAUCAGCACGGCCCUUACGUCCGGGGCUACACACGUGUUACAAUGGGGGGUACAGAAGGCAGCUACCUGGUGACAGGAUGCUAAUCCCAAAAGCCUCUCUCAGUUCGGAUCGAAGUCUGCAACCCGACUUCGUGAAGCUGGAUUCGCUAGUAAUCGCGCAUCAGCCAUGGCGCGGUGAAUACGUUCCCGGGCCUUGUACACACCGCCCGUCAAGCCAUGAAAGCCGGGGGUACCUGAAGUACGUAACCGCAAGGAGCGUCCUAGGGUAAAACUGGU
rnacentral:rRNA from 1 species